GAUCAUGGCUCAGGAUGAACGCUAGCGACAGGCUUAACACAUGCAAGUCGAGGGGCAGCGGGGGUAGCAAUACCCGCCGGCGACCGGCGCACGGGUGAGUAACGCGUAUGCAACUUACCUAUCAGAGGGGGAUAACCCGGCGAAAGUCGGACUAAUACCGCAUGAAGCAGGGCCCCGCCAUGGGGAGUAUUUGCUAAAGAUUCAUCGCUGAUAGAUAGGCAUGCGUUCCAUUAGGCAG
rnacentral:rRNA from 1 species